UCAAGCUAUAAAGAGCGCAAGGGGAAUGCCUUGGCAUCAGGAGCCGACGAAGGACGUGACAAGCUGCGAUAAGCUUCGGGGAGGAGCAAAUAUCCUGUGAUCCGGAGAUUUCCGAAUGGGGAAACCCACUGGAGCAAUACUCCAGUAACGUGCAUUGAACAAAAUAGGUGUACGUGGGGAACCGCCUGAACUGAAACAUCUAAGUAGGGCGAGGAAAAGACAUCAACCGAGAUUCCGUAAGUAGUGGCGAGCGAACACGGAGUAGGCCAAACCGGAGGAUUUAUUCUCCGGGGUUAGGACUUGCAUCAUGAUCAGAAGAAUCUAACAGAACGGCAUGGGAAGGCCGGCCACAGAGGGUGAGAGCCCCGUACGUGAAAGAGGAAGCUGACAGCGAGUAUCCAGAGUACCGCGGGACACGUGAAACCCCGCGGGAAAACGGGUGGACCACCAUCCAAGCCUAAAUACUACCUGAUGACCGAUAGAGGAGCAGUACCGUGAGGGAAAGGUGAAAAGGACCCCGGGAGGGGAGUGAAAGAGAACCUGAAACCUUGUGCUUACAAGCACUCAAAGCACGUUAAAGUGUGAUGAGGUACUUUUUGUAGAACGGUCCGGCGAGUUAUAGUAACGAGCAAGCUUAAGGUAUUCAGUACCGGAGGCGAAGCGAGAGCGAGUCUGAAUAGGGCGCAUAAAGUUCGUUGCCAUAGACCCGAAACCGGGUGACCUAACCAUGAGCAGGCUGAAGUGAGAGUAAAAUCUCAUGGAGGGCCGAACGCACGUUCGUUGCAAUGACCGGCGAUGACUUGUGGUUAGCGGAGAAAUUCCAAUCGAACUCGGAGAUAGCUGGUUCUCCCCGAAAUAGCUUUAGGGCUAGCGUUAUCUUAGAUUACCGGAGGUAAAGCACUGAAUGGGCUAGGGGGCGAUAAGCUUACUGAACCCUAUCAAACUCUGAAUGCCGGAUAAUUGAUGGAUAGCAGUCAGACAGUGUGAGAUAAGUUUCAUUGUCAAAAGGGAAACAGCCCAGACCCACAGCUAAGGUCCCAAAUGUAUGCUAAGUGGAAAACGAUGUGGAGUUGCGAAAACAACCAGGAUGUUGGCUUAGAAGCAGCCACUCAUUAAAAGAGUGCGUAAUAGCUCACUGGUCGAGUGAUUCUGCGCGGAAAAUGUAACGGGGCUAAGCGUAACACCGAAGCUUGGGAUGCAGCAAUGCAUGGUAGGGGAGCGUCGAAUACGGGGUGAAGUCGCAGCGGAAGCAGCGGUGGACUGUAUUCGAGUGAGAAUGCCGGAAUGAGUAGCGAGAAUUAUGUGGGAAUCAUAAUGGCCGAAAAUCUAAGGUUUCUUGGGGAAGGUUCGUCCGCCCAAGGUAAGCCGGGAGCUAAGGCGAGGCCGCAAGGCGUAGUCGAUGCACAUACGGUAGAAAUUCCGUAGCCACCGAACCUUAAACCGGAAGGACACUUUCAGAUAGCGGAACCCAGCCGUUGGUAGAGCUGGGCGAAAGGGACUGAAAUAUAGUAGGGAAGUCUGCGAUGCUGAGAGGCGAGAAAAGCUCCGGUGUAUGCUAAGGUGCCCGUACCGCAAACCGACACAGGUAGAUGAGGAGAGAAUCCUAAGGCCAACGGGAGAAGGGUUGUUAAGGAACUCGGCAAAUUGACCCCGUAACUUCGGAAGAAGGGGAGCCCCGAAAGGGGCCGCAGUGAAUAGGCCCAAGCAACUGUUUACCAAAAACACAGGUUUAUGCUAAAUCGAAAGAUGACGUAUAUGAGCUGACGCCUGCCCGGUGCCGGAAGGUUAAGAGGAGAUGUCAACCUUAAGGUGAAGCAUUGAAUUGAAGCCCCGGUAAACGGCGGCCGUAACUAUAACGGUCCUAAGGUAGCGAAAUUCCUUGUCAGGUAAGUUCUGACCCGCACGAAUGGCGUAAUGAUUUGGGCACUGUCUCAACAGCCCGCCCGGCGAAAUUGUAGUACUG
rnacentral:rRNA from 1 species